rnacentral:tRNA from 1 species
AGGAAGGCUUCGUUUGUUGGUUUACGAGUUGAGCUAACUCAAUGACUUUGAGUCAUCGAAGGUUCGAUUCCUUCUCUUCCUA